rnacentral:rRNA from 1 species
GAUGAACGCUAGCGGCAGGCUUAACACAUGCAAGUCGAGGGGUAACAGGGAGUGCUUGCACUCUGCUGACGACCGGCGCACGGGUGCGUAACGCGUAUGCAACCUACCUUCUACAGGGGGAUAGUCCAGAGAAAUUUGGCAUAAUACCCCAUACGAUCAUUUAUUGGCAUCGAUAGAUGAGGAAAACUCCGGUGGUAGAAGAUGGGCAUGCGUCCUAUUAGUUAGUUGGUAAGGUAACGGCUUACCAAGACAUCGAUAGGUAGGGGUCCUGAGAGGGAGAUCCCCCACACUGGUACUGAGACACGGACCAGACUCCUACGGGAGGCAGCAGUGAGGAAUAUUGGACAAUGGAGGCAACUCUGAUCCAGCCAUGCCGCGUGCAGGAAGACGGCCCUACGGGUUGUAAACUGCUUUUAUACAGGAAGAAACGCCGCUACGUGUAGCGGUUUGACGGUACUGUACGAAUAAGGAUCGGCUAACUCCGUGCCAGCAGCCGCGGUAAUACGGAGGAUCCAAGCGUUAUCCGGAAUCAUUGGGUUUAAAGGGUCCGUAGGCGGUUUUUUAAGUCAGAGGUGAAAUCCUGCAGCUCAACUGUAGCAUUGCCUUUGAUACUGAAAGACUUGAGUUAUUGUGAAGUAGUUAGAAUGUGUAGUGUAGCGGUGAAAUGCAUAGAUAUUACACAGAAUACCGAUUGCGAAGGCAGAUUACUAACAAUAUACUGACGCUGAGGGACGAAAGCGUGGGUAGCGAACAGGAUUAGAUACCCUGGUAGUCCACGCCGUAAACGAUGGAUACUAGCUGUUCGACCAACAUUGGUUGGUUGAGUGGCUAAGCGAAAGUGAUAAGUAUCCCACCUGAGGAGUACGCUCGCAAGAGUGAAACUCAAAGGAAUUGACGGGGGCCCGCACAAGCGGUGGAGCAUGUGGUUUAAUUCGAUGAUACGCGAGGAACCUUACCAGGGCUUAAAUGUAAGUUGCAUAGAUCAGAGAUGGUCUUUUCUUCGGACUACUUACAAGGUGCUGCAUGGUUGUCGUCAGCUCGUGCCGUGAGGUGUCAGGUUAAGUCCUAUAACGAGCGCAACCCCUGUCGUUAGUUGCCAGCAAGUAAAGUUGGGCACUCUAGCGAGACUGCCGGUGCAAACCGCGAGGAAGGUGGGGAUGACGUCAAAUCAUCACGGCCCUUACGUCCUGGGCUACACACGUGCUACAAUGGCCGGUACAGAGAGCAGCCUCUCCGCGAGGAGGAGCGAAUCUAUAAAACCGGUCUCAGUUCGGAUCGCGGUCUGCAACUCGACUGCGUGAAAGCUGGAAAUCGCUAGUAAUCGGAUAUCAGCCAUGAUCCGGUGAAUACGUUCCCGGGCCU